GACGAACGCUGGCGGCGUGGAUUAGGCAUGCAAGUCGAACGGUAUCAUCCUUUCGGGGGUGAGAGAGUGGCGAACUGGUGAGUAACACGUAGGUUAUCUACCCUCAAGACGGGGACAACCCAGGGAAACUUGGGCUAAUACCGGAUGUGAGCAACUUUUAGUUGUUUGAAAGGUGGCGUAAGCUGUCGCUUGGGGAUGAGCCUGCGUCCCUAUUAGUUAGUUGGUGAGGUAACGGCUCACCUAGGCAAUGAUAGGUAGGCGGCCUUAACGGGUGGUCGCCCACACUGGGAUUGAGAUACGGCCCAGACUCCUACGGGAGGCAGCAGUCGAGAAUAGUCUACAAUGGUCGGAAGACUGAUAGUGCGACGCCGCGUGAACGAUGAAUCCCUUCGGGGUGUAAAGUUCUUUUAUAUGUGAGCAGUGCUUCUUAUAUUAACAGUAUGGGGAGAGAGAUAUUAGCAUAUGAAUAAGCAACGGCUAACUCCGUGCCAGCAGCCGCGGUAAACUCGU
rnacentral:rRNA from 1 species